rnacentral:lncRNA from 1 species
AGGACCCACACGGUGCCUUAAGUUGUUGGCAGAAGGGAUGCGGAUAUCAGUCACCACAAAUGAACUGGGGCAACCCGUUGGCCCUGAGGCUUCAAAAUUGGUUAGCUUUCUGGGCACUCUUGCAAGGAAUGGAAAUUUGGCACCUCUUACAUACGUUGACUGGAGGGCUGUGCCUGAAGAGAGCAAGGAGAAUAUGUGGGAGGAAGUUUCAGGUAACAGGAACUGUUUCUCUCUUCCUUUGCUCUUUCAAAAACAUUAACUGUUCUCAAUCAUAUGAUGCAGAAGAAGUUUGAAAUUGACCCAAAUAGUAAAAGUUGGGUUAUUAAAUCCCUUGGCAAAAAGUGGAAAGACUGGAAAUCCAAGUUGAAGACGGCACAUUACAUCACUCAUGCAACUGAUGAGGAGAGGCUAGCUGACCGUGAUGAGAGAGUCCUUCCAGAACAAUGGGCCUACCUUGUUUCACAUUGGAGUUCCGAGGAAGCAGAGGUAUCUAGCUAGCAUGAUUUCAUGUGAUUUUUAUCUUGUGGAAGUCACCGUGGGCUGUUCUUUUUUCCUUCUUCUCAUAACUCAUCGACUUCACAUUGUGGAUAUCUGAAAUUUGUCUCUCAUGAUAGAAACGGAGUGCUACAAAUAGGGCUAAUCGUGCACAGCAGAAGUUUGGGCACGUUACAGGAACCAAGAGCUUUGCACGGAUACGUGAAGAGCAGGUAAAUACGCUCUCUUUGAUACUAAAUUGCGGAAAGUUUGGCCCAUGGUGUUUCAUUGGAGUCAAUAGGAAAUGGUCACAAGAAUGAUCCUAACGACUGGUGUCUGGAAAAACAGCGUGUUAAGAGAUCUGAUGGGAAGGCUCCAUCUCGGGCAGAGCUAUUCAUCUUGACUCGCACGCGCAAAGAUGGAAAGCCUGUAAAUGAAGCAUCCUCUG